rnacentral:rRNA from 1 species
GAUGAACGCUAGCGGCAGGCUUAAUACAUGCAAGUCGAGGGGUAACAGGGUAGCAAUACCUGCUGACGACCGGCAAACGGGUGCGGAACACGUACGCAACCUUCCCAAAACUGGUGAAUAGCCCUCCGAAAGGAGGAUUAAUACACCGUAACAUAACGAGGUGGCAUCAUCUUGUUAUUAUAGCUCCGGCGGUUUUGGAUGGGCGUGCGCCUGAUUAGGUAGUUGGCGGGGUAACGGCCCACCAAGCCUACGAUCAGUAACUGGUGUGAGAGCACGACCAGUCACACGGGCACUGAGACACGGGCCCGACUCCUACGGGAGGCAGCAGUAAGGAAUAUUGGUCAAUGGACGAAAGUCUGAACCAGCCAUGCCGCGUGGAGGAUGAAGGUCCUCUGGAUUGUAAACUUCUUUUAUCUGGGACGAAAAAGGGAAUUCUUUCUCACUUGACGGUACCAGAAGAAUAAGCA